GGUCAAGUUACUAAGGGUGUAUGGGGGAUGUCUAGGUGUCGAGAGGCGAUGAAGGACGUGGCGAACUGCGAUAAGCCCGGGGCAGGUGUUAAGCAACCGUUAAUCCCGGGAUUUCCGAAUGGGGAAACCCAAUCACAGGAAACUGUGGUUAUUGCCGGCUGAAUGCAUAGGCCGGUUAAAGCUAACGCAGGGAACUGAAACAUCUAAGUACCUGCAGGAAAGGAAAUCAAUUGAGACUCCGUUAGUAGCGGCGAGCGAAAGCGGAAAAGCCCAAACCAACCUUCGGGUUGGGGUUGCGGACGUUGACAAGGAGUUACAAAGGCAAUGGCAAGCAGAAUCAGCUGGAAAGCUGAACCACAGAGGGUGAUAGUCCCGUAAGUAAAAGUCAGUGCUCUCCGUUACUGUCAGCGCUCCAGAGUAGCACGGAGCUCGUGAAACUCCGCGCGAAGCAGGGUGGACCAUUAUCCAAGGCUAAGUACUCCUCGACGACCGAUAGUGGAAAAGUAGCGCGAGCGAAAGAUGAAAAGUACCCCUAUUAGGGGAGUUAAAAGUAC
rnacentral:ncRNA from 1 species